GGAGGGGGAGGGGUGAGGCCUGGGGAUUUUAUCUUGUAAGUCAGCUUGCAGAUAAUCGCAUGCCUCAGGCUUGGAAAAAAUUGAUGGCAGAUCAAUGAUCAGGAACAUGAACUGUACUCGUUUUUUGACUGUGCAGUGUCCAGCGCUGGCUGUAAGUCUUGCGGUGUGGAAAAGACUUGGGGUAAAUGGCGCACCAUUUUGGAGUAGGCUGAGUCUGAGGAAGAAACUCAACUGGCCUCUGCUUGCCCAAUGCCCUGUUGAGUCUGCAUGCAGUCCUACCUAGUAGCCUGCUUGGCCAUCUAACAUGCUUAUCCCUUGUCUGGCCUUGGAUUAUUCAACAAGUCGUCCUGGAUGAAACCAAUACUAGAAGCCACCAUUGGACUGCAAUAGAAUGUACAUGAAGGAGGUAAAUGCUUAUCUAACAGACUCACCUGUUUGGAGGCCUUACGUUGCAUUGCUAUUUCUACCCACGCCGGAGCUCUCAAGAGAAGGGCACUUCCUUUAGACACUCCCUUGCUUUGCUCAUUAAGGGGCUACUCCACAAUGGGAGGAUGAGCUCCUUGAAGACAGUGGCUCUUUCUUAUUUCUCCUUGUGUCUCACAAGGAGUUUGAACACACAGCAGGCUACUGUGUAAGGGACCUUUGCCAUUUUAACAUUGUUAUUGACAUUCAUUAGUGAUCCAGCCUGACACCCUCCUCCUACCCUGUUCAAUCUUUUUUCUUUCUUGAGGCUGAAGACCCCUUGGAAACUUAUAUGCCAGUGUUAUCCUCAGCACCAUGUCUUUUGGCUCCCCUUAAUUAAAUGAUUGGAAAGCCACGCUAUAAGGUCAUUUUAUUUCCAAAUGACAUCAUUUACCAUCUCUGCGACUAGGUUUCACAUGCACUCUCUGAAGUCAGAUUCUCUUUAUUUUAAAAGAAUAAUCACCACUCUAUACGUUGGCUUCCCAGAGAAGUUCUUUAGAAAUUAGUUCCUGGGGGAGAGGUCAUAAGAUUCCAGGGAGUAACACUGGCUGCAGGGUAGUGAACUCUGAAUUCCAAACUAGACCGAGCUCUGACUCAGUGCAGAAGGUCUUCACAGAGGGUUCACUUUGUUCAUGUUUGAAAGAAGAUGUAAGGAAGUGGGGGCUCAGGGUUUGAGUCCUAGGUGAGCGGGGGCUUGUGUGUACCAGGGCCUUGACCCACAGAGCAGGUAGGCAUCUGCAGUCGCUCACACCUGAGCUAAUCAGGUCCUGGGUGAUUCGGCUAGCACUAGCUGACUGAGCAAAUGAAUACAGGGGUUUGAAAGCCUACUUUUAGCUUUAACUCUGCUAUGGGACAUGGGACAGGUCAAUUUCUCUGAGCCUCAUUUUAGCAGUGCAGAAAUAGAGUAGGUUUAAGAUUAAAAUAGGGUCAAAGCUUCCUGUACUGGGAACUGUUAACACAUGAUGCCCAAGCAAGCCUUUGGGAGGGACAAUGUAAUGUAAAGAUUCUGUUCAUUGUUAGAUUCCGGAAUUGCAUGCUGUUUUCAUGGAGAGGACUUGGUUGCAAUAAAGAUACAAUCUGAAAGUUGAAUAGAGGUCA
rnacentral:lncRNA from 1 species